rnacentral:tRNA from 17 species
GCUCAUAUAGCUCAGAGGUAGAGCACUCCCUUGGUAAGGGAGAGGUCCCGAGUUCAACUCUCGGUAUGAGCUCCA